rnacentral:rRNA from 1 species
GACGAACGCUGGCGGCGUGCUUAACACAUGCAAGUCGAGCGGUAAGGCCCUUUCGGGGGUACACGAGCGGCGAACGGGUGAGUAACACGUGAGUAAACUGCCCUUCACUCUGGGAUAAGCACUCGAAAGGGUGUCUAAUACCGGAUACGACGCACUCUCGCAUGGGAUGUGUGUGGACACUUUUGUGGGUGGGGGAUGUGCCCGCGGCCUAUCAGCUUGUUGGUGGGGUAAUGGCCUACCAAGGCUUUGACGGGUAGCCGGCCUGAGAGGGUGACCGGCCACACUGGGACUGAGACACGGCCCAGACUCCUACGGGAGGCAGCAGUGGGGAAUAUUGGACAAUGGGCGGAAGCCUGAUCCAGCAACGCCGCGUGAGGGAUGACGGCCUUCGGGUUGUAAACCUCUUUCAGUAUCGACGAAGCGCCCGUGUGGGUGGUGACGGUAGGUACAGAAGAAGCACCGGCCAACUACGUGCCAGCCGCCGCGGUAAAAC